CCCUGGACGCCCUCGUUGCUGCUCGGACCCCCUCGCCCCGCUCUCCGUCGACCCGAACGCCUGCUCAAGACAAUCCAGCUGAGUCCUCCUUACCGUCUCCCCGCUCGGUUAACCAAUCCUCGUGACUGGUCUGGUCCCUUGGUCCCGGGAUAAGUUCGAGCCGCCAUCGUCCCCCGCCCCGCAGACUAGCGCUGCGCUCCGUGUGCUCCCGAGUUAUUAAUAAAUCCUUGAAUUCUGA